GGCCGCUGGGGGUCGGCGCUGAGGAAGCCAGGAUUUUCCGAGGGCCAAUGCCGGGAGCCACGCCAACGCCGGGAGCCACACCAACGCCGGGAGCCACACCAACACCAGGAGCCACACCAACUCCAGGAGCCACGCCAACUCCAGGAGCCACGCCAACGCCAGGAGCCACGCCGACACCAGGAGCCACACCAACUCCAGGAGCCACGCCGACACCAGGAACUAACCCUGCAAGAUUGAGAAGAGCUGAUCAUUAACCAAGACCUGAUCAAAGAGGACAGAAGCUUAUGGAAAGAGGGCUGGAGCCUCGGCCCUGGCAUAGAUUUGCUGUGUGACCCUGGAUCAGUUACUUUCCCUUGCUGGGCCUCAGCUUCCUCCUCCCUAGUAUGAAGUGUGUGCAGGCUCAGGAGUUCAUAACUUUGUUUUUUUGGAGACAGAGUCUCACUCUAUCGCCCAGGCUGGAGUGCAAUGGCGUGAUCUCGAC
rnacentral:lncRNA from 1 species